UACAGAGGGGCAAGCGUUGUUCGGAAUUACUGGGCGUAAAGGGCGCGUAGGCGGCCUGCUAAGUCGAACGUGAAAUCCCCGAGCUCAACUCGGGAACUGCGUCCGAUACUGGCAGGCUUGAAUCCGGGAGAGGGAUGCGGAAUUCCAGGUGUAGCGGUGAAAUGCGUAGAUAUCUGGAGGAACACCGGUGGCGAAGGCGGCAUCCUGGACCGGCAUUGACGCUGAGGCGCGAAAGCCAGGGGAGCAAAGCGGGG
rnacentral:rRNA from 1 species